rnacentral:lncRNA from 1 species
AAAUUUCCAUUCGAUUUUCAUUUUUCAACCAUUCGCUCUCCGACCUCCUUUGGCCUCCGCAACUCCACCCAUCUACAGCCUACUUCGGCGUCGCCACUACUCAGAGCCUCAGCCUCAACCUCAACCUCCUCCCCGAGGGACAAACUUCUUGCUCCGUAAGAAUUAAAACCGUAAGGUCCUGAUAUAACCUCCAUUGCAGGCUUGCAGCGUUGCACCGUAACCUUUGCGGCUCCGGCGAUUCUUCCAGCGGCAAUUGACAGCCAGCAUAACAGAAGAAGAAGGUUUGAUUUGUCUGAAGGUGAAGCCCCAAUUUCCAAAUUCUAUCGACCUUGAUUUUGUCAUUUUGAAGCUUUUUUGGUUAUUUUUUGUUAUUCUGAUUUGUAUGAAUUGUAAUAAUAUUUGGUUUUUUUUUUUUUAAAUAUAAAUCUAGCAGCUCUUCAAUUGCUUGAACUGGAAGCAGCACGUCACUACCUACACUGUAAGUUGCUUAGGGGGCAUUCCCUUUGCCGUUUUCUAGCAGUUUUCUGUUUUUAGUUUUUGAAAACUCCCAAAACGCGUUUGAUCACUUGUUUCCGAAAACAAGGAAAAAUUUAUAACUGAAAAUGCAAAACGAUCUUUUUUCGUUUUGGACAUUUUCAGUUAAAAAACCAAAAACGCGGAAAACGCUCAAAACAUGCC